rnacentral:rRNA from 1 species
UACGGAGGAUGCAAGCGUUAUCCGGAAUGAUUGGGCGUAAAGCGUCCGCAGGUGGCAGUGUAAGUCUGCUGUCAAAGGUCAGGGCUUAACCCUGAACAGGCAGUGGAAACUACACAGCUAGAGUGCGGUGGGGGCAGAGGGAAUUCCCAGUGUAGCGGUGAAAUGCGUAGAGAUUGGGAAGAACACCGGUGGCGAAAGCGCUCUGCUAGGCCGUAACUGACACUCAUGGACGAAAGCUAGGGGAGCGAAUGGG